rnacentral:lncRNA from 1 species
UGAAUUACAAACAAUAAAAAUUAUUUGAAUUAGGAAGAAAAGUGACAUCUAAUUCCAAAAUCUCUGAUAUUUAAAACCACGAAAUAAUUCUGUUUUACCACCAAACAUUCUGCGUCCUCAUUGAAGAAUAACGAGGAUCAUAACCAUAACCAUCAAGCAAUGUUAUUAUUAAACUGCUGCAGAAUAACCAUGUUUAUUUCAUUGAAAAUAUACUUCAAUGUAAGCCAACAGCAUACAGUAUCAUUAGACAUACUAACAAAUACAGCUCAAUUGGAAAGAGACGGUACAGACUAUAAAUAAGCAGCUUGCAGCUCAAUACGACUGUCAAAAUUUUACGACAAUAUAACCAUGAACUGAGUUAGGAAAUGGACUGCACAUUUUCAUCUUCAAACAUCCCUCCAAGUGGAUCUUAUAGCAUCAAGUCUGACUAAAAUUGAACAGGAAGAGCAGUCAAGAAAGCCAAUGUAUAUGGUGAAGUGGAUUUACCGAAGAGGGAACACCAAUGUGGAAGCUUCUGAAGCACCCUCUCUACUUUUGGUGUCACCAUGUUUACAUCUGUCCUCAGUUUUAAUAGGAGAGCA